CACCUUUUGUAGACCUGGAUAUCUCUCUGAAUGCUUGACAUUCAGGUUUGAGGAUUGACUUCUAUGUCUCUCUUUAUAUUUCCAGGCCUAUGUUUCUUCAUUAUACCCUAAUGUAUGUUAUAGAAUGUUAAUUAAUAGGCUUUUAUGCCGAUUAACCCAUUCCACNUU
rnacentral:rRNA from 1 species